CGGCAAUGCAUUAAGCCGCCUCGCUGACGGCAGGCUUUCGGGCGCUGAGAAUAACGGUCCCCUGACAACCUUUCCAAUACCAUCCAGGUAUCCGCGGCAGUGAGAGGAGGACAUAAGCUAUACAAGAGCCCAAGCUGUAGUACAACCAGAGAGUCAACAUACCAGUACAAACAGAGUGUCAAGAUACCAGUACAAACAGAGAGUCAACAUACCAGUACAAACAGAGAGUCAACAUACCAGUACAAACAGAGAGUCAACAUACCAGUACAAACAGAGAGUCAACAUACCAGUACAAACAGAGAGUCAACAUACCAGUACAAACAGAGAGUUAACAUACCAGUACAAACAAAAAGUCAACAUACCAGUACAAUCAAAGGUUUCCAGGCAUAACAAAUAUUGUUCUUUGAAUAAAUGAACUGGGAAUGUGACCACCUGACAUUUACAAUUUCUUUCAGUCUGAAAAAAAAAUAAAAAUGUGUUUUUUUUAA